UACGGAGGGGGCUAGCGUUGUUCGGAAUUACUGGGCGUAAAGCGCACGUAGGCGGCUUUGUAAGUUAGAGGUGAAAGCCCGGGGCUCAACUCCGGAAUUGCCUUUAAGACUGCAUCGCUAGAAUUGUGGAGAGGUAAGUGGAAUUCCGAGUGUAGAGGUGAAAUGCGUAGAUAUCUGGAGGAACACCGGUGGCGAAGGCGGCAUCCUGGACCAACACUGACGCUGAGGAGCGAAAGCCAGGGGAGCAAACGGG
rnacentral:rRNA from 1 species